UUAAACGGCCGCGGUAUUUUGACCGUGCAAAGGUAGCGCAAUCACUUGUCUUUUAAAUGAAGACCUGUAUGAAUGGUGGAACGAGGGCUUAACUGUCUCCCUCACCUAGUCAAUGAAAUUGAUCUAUCCGUGCAGAAGCGGGUAUAAUAAUACAAGACGAGAAGACCCUUUGGAGCUUAAGACAAAAGACCAACUAUGUUAAAAGUCCUAAAAAAUGAUACUAAACCAAAUAAUACUGGUCCCAGUCUUCGGUUGGGGCGACCACGGGAGAAAAUAAAGCUCCCAUGUGGACAGGGGCAACCCCCUAAAACUAAGAGAUACAUCUCUAAGGCACAGAACAUCUGACCAUAAAGAUCCGGCUAUAUGCCGACCAACGGACCAAGUUACCCUAGGGAUAACAGCGCAAUCCCCUUCCAGAGUCCAUAUCGACAAGGGGGUUUACGACCUCGAUGUUGGAUCAGGACAUCCUAAUGGUGCAGCCGCUAUUAAGGGUUCGUUUG
rnacentral:rRNA from 1 species